GACAGAGGUGCCAAGCGUUAGGCGGAAUCACUGGGCUUAAAGCGUGUGUAGGCGGAAUUGUAAGUACCUUGUGAAAUCCCACGGCUCAACCGUGGAACUGCUCGGUAUACUGCUUUUCUUGAGCCACUUAGGGGCUGUCGGAACAAACGGUGGAGCGGUGAAAUGCGCAGAUAUCGGGAGGAACACCCGUAGCGAAGGCGGCACUCUGGGCCGGAACUGACGCUGAGGAGCGAAAGCGUGGGGAGCAAACAGG
rnacentral:rRNA from 1 species